UACAGAGGGUGCAAGCGUUGUUCGGAAUUAUUGGGCGUAAAGCGCGUGUAGGCGGCUUUGCAAGUCGGGUGUGAAAGCCCUCGGCUCAACCGAGGAAGUGCGCCCGAAACUGCAGAGCUUGAGUACCGGAGAGGAUGGCGGAAUUCCCCAAGUAGAGGUGAAAUUCGUAGAUAUGGGGAGGAACACCGGUGGCGAAGGCGGCCAUCUGGACGGAUACUGACGCUGAGACGUGAAAGCGUGGGGAGCAAACAGG
rnacentral:rRNA from 1 species